rnacentral:pre_miRNA from 1 species
CGUGCACUCAAGGGGGGGUUCCUUAGCCUGGAUUGUGAGAGGGUGUAGACCAGGCUGAGGGACCCCACUGGUGCACG